rnacentral:rRNA from 1 species
GUGCCAGCAGCCGCGGUAAUACGUAGGGUGCAAGCGUUAAUCGGAAUUACUGGGCGUAAAGCGUGCGCAGGCGGUUUCGUAAGUCUGUCGUGAAAUCCCCGGGCUUAACCUGGGAAUGGCGAUGGAGACUGCGAGGCUAGAGUUUGGCAGAGGGGGGUAGAAUUCCACGUGUAGCAGUGAAAUGCGUAGAGAUGUGGAGGAACACCGAUGGCGAAGGCAGCCCCCUGGGUCAAAACUGACGCUCAUGCACGAAAGCGUGGGGAGCAAACAGGAUUAGAUACCCCGGUAGUCC